GCCAGGAGUGGUGGCACACACCUGUAAUCCCAGCUACUUGGGAGACUGGGGCAGGAGAAUUGCAAGUUCAAAGCCAGACUGGGCAACUUAGUGAGACCCUGUCUCAA
rnacentral:sRNA from 1 species